rnacentral:lncRNA from 1 species
ACUGGUACCCUCUCCUAAUUCAACCAUGUCAAUAUCAAUCAGUAGGUUCUGGAAGUCAUCAAUCAAUUCAGCUUCAAAUUCUAUAGGUUUCGUGACAUCGCUCUUGACAAAUGAUUCACUGAGUAGCAGCAUUGGGCAAGGGAGUGACCAUGUUUCCUUUUCCCUUUCCUUGGCCUUCUUCAAAUCUUCAGCCGUAGGUUCAA